rnacentral:rRNA from 1 species
CCUACGGGCGGCAGCAGUGGGGAAUAUUGCACAAUGGGCGAAACCCUGAUCCAGCGACGCCGCGUGAGUGAAGAAGUAAUUCGUUAUGUAAAGCUCUAUCAGCAGGGAAGAAAAUGACGGUACCUGAGUCAGAAGCCCCGGCUAACUACGUGCCAGCACCCGCGGUAAUACGUAGGGAGCAAGCGUUAUCCGGAUUUACUGGGUGUAAAGGGAGCGUAGACGGCAGUGCAAGUCUGGAGUGAAAGGCGGGGGCUCAACCCCCGGACUGCUCUGGAAACUGUACGGCUGGAGUGCAGGAGAGGUAGGUGGAAUUCCUGGUGUAGCGGUGAAAUGCGUAGAUAUUAGGAGGAACACCAGUGGCGAAGGCGGCUUACUGGACUGUAACUGACGUUGAGGCUCGAAAGCGUGGGGAGCAAACAGGAUUAGAUACCCGGGUAGUC